rnacentral:sRNA from 1 species
UGGGCAAUUUUAAAAUGCCAGAUGCUCC